UACAGAGGUCCCAAGCGUUGUUCGGAUUCACUGGGCGUAAAGGGUGCGUAGGUGGUGAGGUAAGUCUGAUGUGAAAUCUCCGAGCUUAACUCGGAAAUGGCAUUGGAAACUACCUUGCUUGAGGGUUGGAGGGGAGACUGGAAUUCUUGGUGUAGCAGUGAAAUGCGUAGAUAUCAAGAGGAACACCAGUGGCGAAAGCGAGUCUCUGGACAACUCCUGACACUGAGGCACGAAAGCUAGGGGAGCAAACAGG
rnacentral:rRNA from 1 species